rnacentral:rRNA from 1 species
CUACGGGUCGCAGCAGUGGGGAAUAUUGGGCAAUGGGCGAAAGCCUGACCCAGCAACACUGCGUGAUUGAAGAAGGUCUUCGGAUUGUAAAAAUCUGUCCUUGGGGACGAAAAAAAUGACGGUACCCAAGGAGGAAGCCCCGGCUAACUACGUGCCAGCAGCCGCGGUAAUACGUAGGGGGCGAGCGUUGUCCGGAAUUACUGGGCGUAAAGGGUGCGCAGGCGGCGCUUUAAGUCAGAUGUGAAAUACCCAGGCUUAACCUGGGGGGUGCAUUUGAAACUGGAGUGCUUGAGUGCAGGAGAGGAAAGUGGAAUUCCUAGUGUAGCGGUGAAAUGCGUAGAUAUUAGGAGGAACACCAGUGGCGAAGGCGACUUUCUGGACUGUAACUGACGCUGAGGCACGAAAGCGUGGGGAGCAAACAGGAUUAGAUACCCUAGUAGUC